rnacentral:lncRNA from 1 species
UCUUGUUCUAUAAAUACCUAUGAUGUAAUUGUAGUCUGUGUCAUUCUGUAAACAGUUGUGAGCAUCUAACAAAAGUGAAACCCUAGUUGCAACCUGUGGACGUAGGCUAUGCAGUUAAUAGCGGUCACCUUGACCGAACCACGUAAAUUCUCGUGUUCUUUAUUUUCUGCUAGUGUAUGUGUAUGUGUUUGUUUGUUCCGCUUCUGCUCGAGCCUACUCUGA